rnacentral:rRNA from 1 species
AGUGAACGCUGGCGGUAGGCCUAACACAUGCAAGUCGAACGGCAGCACAGUAAGAGCUUGCUCUUACGGGUGGCGAGUGGCGGACGGGUGAGGAAUACAUCGGAAUCUACUUUUUCGUGGGGGAUAACGUAGGGAAACUUACUCUAAUACCGCAUACGACCUACUUGUGAAAGCAGGGGAUCUUCGGACCUUGCGCGAAUGAAUGAGCCGAUGUCGGAUUAGCUAGUUGGCGGGGUAAAGGCGCACCAAGGCGACGAUCCGUAGAUGGUCUGAGAGGAUGAUCAGCCACACUGGAACUGAGACACGGUCCAGACUCCUACGGGAGGCAGCAGUGGGGAAUAUUGGACAAUGGGCGCAAGCCUGAUCCAGCCAUACCGCGUGGGUGAAGAAGGCCUUCGGGUUGUAAAGCCCUUUUGUUGGGAAAGAAAAGCAGCAGGUUAAUACCCCGCUGUUAUGACGGUACCCAAAGAAUAAGCACCGGCUAACUUCGUG